ensembl:lncRNA
GGGGGCUGAUGUUCUUUCAGAGUCUAAAAAGGCAACACACUCACUGAAGUGGGAAUGAUUUGGAUGUAGUAUGAAACUUCAUUACUGUAAGUGCCCUUUCCGGGAAGAGAUGCAGGUGUUGUCAUCAUACCCAUUUGGAAGUGUCACAGCUGAUGGAUCAAACACAUUCCCAUCACAGCUGAGGAUGUGGUGAGACCCGUCACAGGCUGUAAUCACGAAGAGUCACCAUUAGGGGAAAAACACAGAGGGAUACAGACUGAAUGAAAGAGUGGAGGAGAGCAAGUGACUGGAAUGGGUAGAGGAGGAGGAGGACGAGAUUUGAAGAAACUAGGGG